rnacentral:rRNA from 1 species
UACGUAGGGUGCAAGCGUUGUCCGGAAUUAUUGGGCGUAAAGAGCUCGUAGGCGGUCUGUCGCGUCGGAUGUGAAAAUCCAGGGCUCAACCCUGGACCUGCAUUCGAUACGGGCAGACUAGAGUUCGGCAGGGGAGACUGGAAUUCCUGGUGUAGCGGUGAAAUGCGCAGAUAUCAGGAGGAACACCGGUGGCGAAGGCGGGUCUCUGGGCCGGAACUGACGCUAAGGAGCGAAAGCGUAGGGAGCGAACAGG